rnacentral:rRNA from 1 species
GUAAGGAAUAUUGGUCAAUGGGGGCAACCCUGCACCAGCCAUGCCGCGUGAAGGAUGAAGGCGUUAUGCGUUGUAAACUUCUUUUGUAUGGGAAGAAUGACAGGGAUUCAUCCUUGGAGAGACGGUACCAUAUGAAUAAGCACCGGCUAACUCCGUGCCAGCAGCCGCGGUAAUACGGAGGGUGCAAGCGCUAUCCGGAAUCAUUGUGUUUAAAGGGUACGUAGGCGGUUAAGUAAGUCAGUAGUGAAAGACUGUCGCUCAACGACGGAUGUGCUCUUGAUAUUGGUUAACUUGAAUCAGGUUAGAGGUGGAGGAAUGGGUCAUGUAGCGGUGAGAUGCUAAGAUAUGACUUGGAACACCGAUAGCGAAGGCAGCUGACUGAGCCUUGAUUGACGCUGAGGUACGAAAGUGUGGGUAGCGAACAGGAUUAGAAACCCCUGUAGUCC